rnacentral:tRNA from 1 species
GGAGAGUUGGUAGAGUGGUCGAUUACACCAGUCUUGAAAACUGGCAUACCGAAAGGUAUCUGGGGUUCGAAUCCCUAACUCUCCGCCA